rnacentral:rRNA from 1 species
AUUGAACGCUGGCGGCAGGCUUAACACAUGCAAGUCGAGCGAGCGGCGGACGUGUGAGUAAUGUCUGGGAAACUGCCUGAUGGAUGGGGAUAACUCCUGGAACCGGUAGCUACUACCGCAUAACAGCAGCUGUGCCCCGAUGGGAUUAGCUAGUAGGUGGGGUAAUGGCUCACCUAGGCGACGAUCCCUAGCUGGUCUGAGAGGAGGACCAGCCACCCUGGAACUGAGACACGGUCCAGACUCCUACGGGAGGCAGAAGUGGGGAAUAUUGCACAAUGGGCGCAAGCCUGAUGCAGCCAUGCCGCGUGUGUGAAGAAGGCCGUCGGGUUGUAAAGCACUUUCAGCGAGGAGGCGUUACUCGCAGAAGAAGCACCGGCUAACUCCGUGCCAGCAGCCGCGGUAAUAC